CGAAAGCCUGACGGAGCAAGACCGCGUGGGGGAAGAAGGCUCUUGGGUUGUAAACCCCUUUUCUCUGGGAAGAAAGUUGUGAAAGCAGCCUGACGGUACCAGAGGAAUCAGCAUCGGCUAACUCCGUGCCAGCAGCCGCGGUAAGACGGAGGAUGCAAGCGUUAUCCGGAAUGAUUGGGCGUAAAGCGUCCGCAGGUGGCAGUUCAAGUCUGCUGUCAAAGACCGGGGCUUAACUUCGGAAAGACAGUGGAAACUGAACAGCUAGAGUAUGGUAGGGGCAGAGGGAAUUCCUGGUGUAGCGGUGAAAUGCGUAGAGAUCAGGAAGAACAUCGGUGGCGAAGGCGCUCUGCUGGACCAUAACUGACACUCAGGGACGAAAGCUAGGGGAGCG
rnacentral:rRNA from 1 species